GGUCCAGCCUGCCCAGUGACAAAGUUCAACGGCCGCGGUACCCUAACCGUGCAAAGGUAGCAUAAUCACUUGUUCUUUAAAUAAGGACUCGUAUCAACGGCACCACGAGGGUCACACUGUCUCCUUUUUCCAAUCAGUGAAACUGAUCUCCCCGUGAAGAAGCGGGGAUACAACCAUAAGACGAGAAGACCCCAUGGAGCUUUAAACUAAACAGCAACUCAAUUAUAUACCCCCCCCCACCCACAGAGACAUGCCUGCUAGUUUUAGGUUGGGGCGACCGCGGAGCACAAAACAACCUCCAUGACGAAAAGAACUAAAUCUUAACCCCAGAGCCACCGCUCUAAGAAUUAGCACACUAACGAACAAUGACCCGACUAUCGAUCAACGAACCAAGUUACCCUGGGGAUAACAGCGCAAUCUACUCCAAGAGUCCCUAUCGACAAGUAGGCUUACGACCUCGAUGUUGGAUCAGGGUACCCAAGUGG
rnacentral:rRNA from 1 species